AUUGAACGCCGGCGGCAGGCUUAACACAUGCAAGUCGAGCAGAGCGAGGGUGCUUGCACCUUAGCUUAGCGGCGGACGGGUGAGUAAUGCUUAGGAAUCUGCCUAUUAGUGGGGGACGACAUUCCGAAAGGAAUGCUAGUACCGCAUACGCCCUACGGGGGAAAGCAGGGGAUCUUCGGACCUUGCGCUAAUAGAUGAGCCUAAGUCGGAUUAGCUAGUUGGUGGGGUAAAGGCCUACCAAGGCGACGAUCUGUAGCGGGUCUGAGAGGAUGAUCCGCCACACUGGGACUGAGACACGGCCCAGACUCCUACGGGAGGCAGCAGUGGGGAAUAUUGGACAAUGGGCGGAAGCCUGAUCCAGCCAUGCCGCGUGUGUGAAGAAGGCCUUUUGGUUGUAAAGCACUUUAAGCGAGGAGGAGGCUACUUAGAUUAAUACUCUGGGAUAGUGGACGUUACUCGCAGAAUAAGCACCGGCUAACUCUGUGCCAGCAGCCGCCGUAACAC
rnacentral:rRNA from 1 species